rnacentral:rRNA from 1 species
GUGCCAGCCGCCGCGGUAAUACGGAGGGUGCAAGCGUUAUCCGGAAUCAUUGGGUUUAAAGGGUCCGUAGGCGGGCAAUUAAGUCAGGGGUGAAAGUUUGCGGCUCAACCGUAAAAUUGCCUUUGAUACUGGUUGUCUUGAAUUAUUAUGAAGUGGUUAGAAUGAGCAGUGUAGCGGUGAAAUGCAUAGAUAUUGCUCAGAAUACCAGUUGCGAAGGCAGAUCACUAAUAAUAUAUUGACGCUGAUGGACGAAAGCGUGGGGAGCGAACAGGAUUAGAAACCCCAGUAGUCC